rnacentral:rRNA from 1 species
CCUACGUGAGGCUGCAGUGGGGAAUAUUGGUCAAUGGGCGCAAUCCUGACCCAGCAACGCCGCGUGAAGGAAGAAGGCCCUCGGGUUGUAAACUUCUUUUAUUCGGGACGAAACAAAUGACGGUACCGAAUGAAUAAGCCACGGCUAACUACGUGCCAGCAGCCGCGGUAAUACGUAGGUGGCAAUCGUUAUCCGGAGUUACUGGGUGGAAAGGGCGUGUAGGCGGGAGAGGAAGUCAGACGUGAAAUUCCAGGGCUCAACCCUGGAACUGCGUUUGAAACUGUUCUUCUUGAGUGAUGUUGAGGCAGGCGGAAUUCCGUGGGUAGCGGGGAAAUGCGUAGAUAUACGGAGGAACACCAGUGGCGAAGGCGGCCUGCUGGACAUUAACUGACGCUGAGGCGCGAAAGCGUGGGGAGCAAACAGGAUUAGAUACCCUUGUAGUC